rnacentral:rRNA from 1 species
GACGCGGGCUGGACCUCUCGGGGUUACAGCCUUGCUGAAUUAUUCACCCUUGUCUUUUGCGUACUUCUUGUUUCCUUGGUGGGUUCGCCCACCACUAGGACAAACAUAAACCUUUUGUAAUUGCAAUCAGCGUCAGUAACAAAUUAAUAAUUACAACUUUCAACAACGGAUCUCUUGGUUCUGGCAUCGAUGAAGAACGCAGCGAAAUGCGAUAAGUAGUGUGAAUUGCAGAAUUCAGUGAAUCAUCGAAUCUUUGAACGCACAUUGCGCCCUUUGGUAUUCCAAAGGGCAUGCCUGUUCGAGCGUCAUUUGUACCCUCAAGCUUUGCUUGGUGUUGGGCGUCUUGUCUCUAGCUUUGCUGGAGACUCGCCUUAAAGUAAUUGGCAGCCGGCCUACUGGUUUCGGAGCGCAGCACAAGUCGCACUCUCUAUCAGCAAAGGUCUAGCAUCCAUUAAGCCUUUUUUUCAACUUUUGACCUCGGAUCAGGUAGGGAUACCCGCUGAACUUAAGCAUAUCAUAG